rnacentral:rRNA from 1 species
AACCCGACUACAUGAAGCUGGAAUCGCUAGUAAUCGCGGAUCAGAAUGCCGCGGUGAAUACGUUCCCGGGUCUUGUACACACCGCCCGUCACACCAUGGGAGUCAGUAACGCCCGAAGCCGGUGACCCAACCUAUUCUGGAGGGAGCCGUCGAAGGCGGGACGGAUGACUGGGGUGAAGUCGUAACAAGGUACC